rnacentral:rRNA from 1 species
GUAGGUGGCAAGUGUUGUCCGGAAUUAUUGGGCGUAAAGCGCGCGCAGGUGGUUCUUUAAGUCUGAUGUGAAAGCCCCCGGCUCAACCGGGGAGGGUCAUUGGAAACUGGGGAACUUGAGUGCAGGAGAGGAAAGUGGAAUUCCACGUGUAGCGGUGAAAUGCGUAGAUAUGUGGAGGAACACCAGUGGCGAAGGCGACUUUCUGGCCUGUAACUGACACUGAGGCGCGAAAGCGUGGGGAGCAAACAGGGAUUAGAUACCCUGGUAGUCCACGCCGUAAACGAUGAGUGCUAAGUGUUGGGGGGGUUUCCCGCCCCUCAGUGCUGCAGCUAACGCAUUAGGCACUCCGCCUGGGGAUACGGUCGCAAGACUG